rnacentral:rRNA from 1 species
ACUCCUACGGGAGGCAGCAGUGGGGAAUCUUAGACAAUGGGGGCAACCCUGAUCUAGCCAUGCCGCGUGAGUGAUGAAGGCCUUAGGGUUGUAAAGCUCUUUCAGCUGGGAAGAUAAUGACGGUACCAGCAGAAGAAGCCCCGGCUAACUCCGUGCCAGCAGCCGCGGUAAUACGGAGGGGCUAGCGUUGUUCGGGAAUUACUGGGGCGUUAAAGCGCACGUAGGCGGACUGGAAAGUUGGGGGUGAAAUCCCGGGGGCUCAACCUCGGAACUGCCUCCAAAACUAUCAGUCUGGAGUUCGAGAGAGGUGAGUGGAAUACCGAGUGUAGAGGUGAAAUUCGUAGAUAUUCGGUGGAACACCAGUGGCGAAGGCGGCUCACUGGCUCGAUACUGACGCUGAGGUGCG